CAUCAGAAGAAAAUAACUGGAAAUGCAUAGUUACACAAAUGCAACAUAUACUGAGGGAGACAAAGGACAUUUUCCUUUCCGGGCAUCAGAAAAAUACUGGAUGAGUGAUACCACCAGUUGUGUGAAAAGGGAGACGCAAACCACAGGAGGCAGUAACUGAUGUAAUAUAAUCAAGUGGUGAAGAAAGGAAAGAGUACUGAAACAGAGAUAUUUCUACAUGAUGUGAAAGAUUCAUAUUGCAUUUCCUUCAUUUUCAUUCUAUUGAAAAGCCUGAACAAUCACUGCAUUUGUCCUGAGUACGACUCAUGAUUUGUACAAAUGGCAAAGAAUGCAAUGGCAAUUGUGACCCAGGCUGUUGAUAACAGAGCAACAAACUCAGCCAGACAAGAAGCAUUACCAGAAGCUAGAGGAAAUCGGACAAAGAGAAGAAGCAAAGCUGAACAGCUGCUCAGUAAACUGAGAAAGAGAAAUUAAAAGAAGAAUAUUCAGUGGUCAUUCAAAAUCUGAGUAUUCCUUUGAUGGAACUGAUAAAUAUACUAAGAGCAAAGUUGCGAAUGCCUCAGGAUUCAGGAAGCAGAAGAUUCUUAUACAGACCAGCUGAGUCUAGGAAGUGAACUAUACAAUCUUUUGGAAAGGUAAGAAUUGGCCUAACAUGGAAUAUGUUGUGUCCUGAUUUGACUAAA
rnacentral:lncRNA from 1 species